GGCCUAGUUCUGUGUGGAAGACUAGUGAUUUUGUUGUUUUUAGUCCCAUAAAUUGACAACAAAUCACAGUCUGCCAUAUGGCACAGGCU
rnacentral:pre_miRNA from 1 species